UUGCCCAUAUUUCUUCCACUUGGACUGUGGAAGUAUCAAGUUCCUGAAUCACCUAUUACAGUCAAAAAAGCUGUAUGAAAGGUGAUUGUACGACGGCAGUCUCUGACUAUGGCUGCAAUCUUCCGCUAUUAUAUAGUGUUGCGUCUAUAAUAAAAAAAUUAUGAGUGCAUAAAUUAGUUUAUUAGAGUUUCGUAUAUGUUUUCGCGAAUCUUUUAUCCUUUUUUUUUUUAUCUUUUUUUUUGCUGAUAUAGAAUUGCAUUGAAAGUACAGUGAAGCACUCUUCGCGUUUUCUUUUGACAUUUUAGCAUUUUAGUGUUGCGAAAUAGAAAUAAAUUCCACUCACGGUUUGUUCGGAUUUACAUUGGGUGGAUAAUUAUUUUGGUUACCCUUCUGGUUACCUUUUCGUCGUUUUUUUCAUUUCAGCACCCCCUUAUUAAGAACGUUUGUUAUUGAAAAUACUGUUAAAAUAUGUAUUUCUUUCUUAUCGAUGAAUAUCUCCCAUUUAAAAUAAUGAGUUGCUUAACAACAUUUUGAUAAUUUGUUUUUUUUUUAAUUAAAUUUUUUCCUUUCUUUUUCUAGGUGUAAAUUAUUUUUUAAUUAUUAAUCCAGUAAUUGAGUUUGUUACAGAUAUGAAAUAUGAAAAAUAGAAGAAAAUAAACAGGAAAAAAUAGAUAGAUAAUAAUUUUGUUUCAGAAAUCUCCUUCAGCUUUCAACAAUGGAUUAUGUGGAAUGGAUUACAUCUUAUCAUCAGAUAAAUAUUCUAAUUUUUUAUAUUAGGUAAUAUAGAAUAGGUUGUAGGAAACAUUUAGCUUUUUUUCUUGAUAGAUGGGAUUUAUAAACGAUGUUCUGUUCUUCUUCUUCUUAUUGUUAAAAAAAGCAGCUUCGCUUUCCCCACUUUGAUUCGUUUUCCAAAUCAACAUUUCCUAUUUUUCAAGGCAAUAUGAUCAUUUUGCUAUCCUUAAUUCCUUAAUUUCCUCAUUAUAAACAAAUGCUUGAUACUUGAUAGCUACAUGACUUUGUUCAUUAGCCAUCAUUGGUAUAUACUGAUUUGCAUUUUCCUCUUGCCACAUGUGGUUUUAUGUCGUAUCACAAAUUUUUUGGAAUUUGUGUGUCAUCAAUCAGUGUGAAUGUAAAUAUGAUGAAUGUUGAUACGAAGAGAAUUUGUUAGAUGUUCAAUCAAAGCUGAAUUAGGAACAAAGUGUUUAAAUUCUUAUAUAGAUAAGAAAUAUAAAAAAAAACUUUCAGAAUAAAUUAAAUGUUAAUGUUAUAUUUUUAAUUCAAGUUUGUUUCAGGAUUUCUUACAGGAACAGAAGAUUGUAUAAUUGAUUAAAAAAAAGUGUAUUUAAAAUUAAGUGCAUGCAGAAUCAAGGGUAUUAAAUAAAGUUAUGUAUUGUAGAAAAGUAGAUACUGUAGAUAAAUAGGUGGAUAACAUACAUUUAGGAAAGGAGAAUUUAUUUACGAAUAAAAUAAUUUGGGAAAUUUAUAAA